rnacentral:tRNA from 1 species
GGUCCCAUCGUCUAGUCUGGCCCAGGACAUCGGCCUCUCACGCCGAAAACGGGGGUUCGAAUCCCCCUGGGAUCACCA